rnacentral:rRNA from 1 species
UACGUAGGGUGCAAGCGUUGUCCGGAAUUAUUGGGCGUAAAGAGCUCGUAGGCGGUUCGUCGCGUCGGCUGUGAAAACCCGGAGCUCAACUCCGGGCCUGCAGUCGAUACGGGCGGACUUGAGUUCGGCAGGGGAGACUGGAAUUCCUGGUGUAGCGGUGAAAUGCGCAGAUAUCAGGAGGAACACCGGUGGCGAAGGCGGGUCUCUGGGCAACAACUGACGCUGAGGAGCGAAAGCGUGGGGAGCGAACAGG